ACAAAAUGUUUGAUGGUUAAAAUAUUACUACACAAUUCGUUAUCUGUCUCACAUGACUGGUUAAGAUGUUAAGCUUAAACUUAUUAACCCACAUGGGUGUUGAGUCAACAGCUUUAACCAACGUGAGGUUUCCAAGUUUCCUCUAAACACACAUAACAGCAAUGUUCACUUAAACUUGGUCAGUUGUUUUCAAAUGUCUACAUGUGUCAGAGGACAUCGGUCAGUGUGGAUUAAUCUGUUUUGGUCAUGGAUAAUCUUCAGCUGUAUCCCGUUUAUGUAGUUAUUGCUGUAUUAUUUCAUCUAGGAGUGGCUGCAUUUCUUUUCUCUAUCAGAAACAAAGAUUAUUGGAAUGAUGAAGAAAAGGCUGACAUAAAAACAAUCCCAUGUUGAAGAAAACUUCAUGCUUAUUAUGUCUAAAAAACUAAAAACUGUGUCUGGUUGUUUGUUGGCUUGAUGUAUUUGUAUAAUUUAAGCCAAAAGCCAAUGGAGGUUUUGAAGGCUUGUAAAAGCACAACAACUUAUAAUGGGUUCUUGGUACAAAACAUCUUCAUGUUACCACUAAUUUUCAACUUUUACCAACAAUUAAAACCCAAGACACUUAUAUCAAGGAUUAUUUUCCUUGGUGAUAGGUCAGGAGAAAGUUUGUGUGCCUAUUUUAGCAUGUAAAUAAAUUACUCGGUACUGUAAAAAAAAUAUAUAUGUGUGUAUCGUGCAUUGAUGUGAAUAAAACUGCUUGACUUUCAGCAGCGUGAGUUAAAAUUAGUUGUGAUAUCCAUCAUUUUGACCAUUAGAUGUGCAGGGCAUCGGCCGUCCUUCAACCCAACCCAUGACCCUGACCUCAACCCCUCUGUAAUAAAUGAAUUAAUUUAUCAGAGAACCUGUGAAUAAGACCAUCAUUUGUGUUUUUUUAUUUCCUUAUUAUCUUUUUAUUUUAUUCUUAAA